GACCUACGGGGGGCAGCAGUGGGGAAUAUUGGACAAUGGGCGGAAGCCUGAUCCAGCAACGCCGCGUGAGGGAUGACGGCCUUCGGGUUGUAAACCUCUUUCGCCUGUGACGAAGCGCAAGUGACGGUAACAGGUAAAGAAGCACCGGCCAACUACGUGCCAGCAGCCGCGGUAAUACGUAGGGUGCGAGCGUUGUCCGGAAUUAUUGGGCGUAAAGGGCUCGUAGGCGGUUUGUCGCGUCGGGAGUGAAAACGCCGUGCUUAACACGGCGCUUGCUUUCGAUACGGGCAGACUAGAGGUAUUCAGGGGAGAACGGAAUUCCUGGUGUAGCGGUGAAAUGCGCAGAUAUCAGGAGGAACACCGGUGGCGAAGGCGGUUCUCUGGGAAUGACCUGACGCUGAGGAGCGAAAGUGUGGGGAGCGAACAGGAUUAGAUACCCCGGUAGUC
rnacentral:rRNA from 1 species